UGCUAAAAUGGAGGAAAAUCAUGAAAUAUGGAAUGUUGGAAGUGAGUUGUGUGUGUGGUGCUUGAGCCGUGUAAGUAUGUGUGUGUUGUGUUGUGUUGUGUUGAAACUAUGAAUUAAUGCCUAGUUAGUAUAUUAUGAUCAUUGUAGGGUGAAGGAAUGAUUGAGAAUUAUCCAUAUGUGUAUGUUGGUGUGCUAGCCGAAAAUGGGUCACCUUAUAUGGCAAUGAAUAAAUUAAUGUCGCUUAAUGUUUUAGUCGUCGUCGUUAUGAAUUCGAUGUUGGAAAUGAAUGCUUAAUGACUCAAAUUGAUGUUGUAAUUGAUGCGGCCUGAUUUGGAGGUUAUAGUAUAUUAAAUGUAAUUUGUAUGUUGAUGAGAAUAGCAUUGUUAGAAUGUGAAUUGUGGAUGCAAAUCAUGAUUUGAAAAUGAGGAGUGGGUUAAAGUGAGGUUCUCGGCUAAUGUGGAAAAAUUUUGGAUUGUCGGAAAUGUUGUAUGAAUCGCUUAGAAUGUCAUUAAAUAUUGUUGGUAUGGAUUCGGGUUAGUAUUUGAAUAAAUAAGCAUCGAUGUUGGCUUAAAGGCAAGUCGUCGAAUUGAAAUCAUGAAAAUUAUAGAAUGAUGGAAAAGAGAGAUAUUAAUGUUGAUAGAUUGGUUGUUGUUGUUGAUUGAUUUGGCCGAGUUAAAUUCUCGGGAUGGCCUAUUUACAGGGGAAGUGCUGCCGAAUUUUCUGUAAAAUUUAGAGUUAGUUGGAAUGAAUAAUUGCUUAAGUGCCUAUGGUUAAUAUUGGAUAUUCAUUGGCACAUUUUGUAGACCUUGGGGAGCCCGAGGCGUAGAUUUGGAGUAGCUUUAGAUUGGCUAGCUUGGAAGUGCGUUCGAGGUACAGACGCACAGUUCGGUGAUCCCCCAGUUUAGGAUAUCCCCUUCAGCUGUUCGGAGUGCUCUUCUCAUUUCAGAGCAUACACUUUUGGGUAUAUAUCAAGUCCUUAAAUGCAUCAACGAGGCCUGAUGGAGGGAAUGACACCGCUCACAAGCUCAAUUCCUUCCAUAGUCGUGUAGGUGGUGUGUCUGGAAUAAGCUGAAGUUGGUGAUGAGGAUGACAUUCCAGAUGUGGAAACAUCUAAAUCGGGUGCAAUAUUAUUGUCGAACGCAGCUGGAAGCAUGUAAGUUAUGUUCUCUAACUCUCUCACCACUUCCAGCACUAAAGGUCUAUCCUUUUGUUCCUCCUGUGAACACCUGAGGGCCAAAUCCACGAAUUUCUUGACACAAUCUAAGGAAUAUGGACCUAUACUCCUGUCAAUUAUAGAAGACAUCAUCCCUGAUUGGCAUGCUGCAUUCACCUGUCAUUAGUACAAAAGUAACUUUUCUUACUCUCUUCCAAAUAGAAUGACACUUUUAACUAUUUUGGAGUCCUAAAGUUUUCUUUUUUAAUAUAGUUUUUCCUGAACUUCUAUAGACUUGAGCUUUAACUCCACGAGAUAAGAAAUCAAUGUCUGAUUCACAUCGAAAAAUAGAUGUGUUGAUCUUGCACUCUGGUCCUCUACCAUUCUCGUCUUCUAGGAUGGCAAGUACUAGUUAUGGAUCAGCUUAAACAUUGAGGACCUCACAUAUUCAUCUAGGUCAAACCUUACAGUAUAAAAUUAAGACUCAAGGCAUGUUAUUAAUGCUGAUCUCAAUUUCUAGCUAUCAUAACAUUUUAUGUCAAAGCAUCCAACUUUGGGAACUCAUCCUAAACAUUCGACAGCACGAGAUUAGUUUGGGGCAUAACAGCUGUCUACUUCAUUACUGAGACCCCUGGAUAUGGUAAAAUACUUUCAUGCUAAACAAAGUACGAGAAAGUUCACACUCAAAUGGUCAUUAACUAGGGUAAGGGCGCCAGCAGUUAUACUGAUUCAGAUGCUGUAUCUCAAUUUUAUAAAACAGAUCACAUCUGAAUUUAUUGAGGUUCUUAUUAAAGCAAUAAAGAAUUGGUUGGAACUCACAAAGGCAAAUGAUCUCUAUUGCUUUAGUUUAGAUCCAUUAUCAGACACUGAAGAUAGAAGAGCUACCUAAUGUACCAUUAAAGAUUUCCAUCUUCACGAACAAAGUGAAAUGCUAAGAUAAAUUGAGUGGGGACAUCAAGUACCUCUCGGACGAUGUUCCUUCCAUGAGAUAUAGGUCGCAUCCCUGUUAAAAGCUCCAGAAAUACGACACCGAGGCUAUAUACAUCACUUUUCUCUGUCAACUUGUGAUUAAAGACAUACUCAGGAUCAAGGUAGCCCUAGAUGAGUGUGAAAAUUUGGCAACUGUCAGCAAUCUUGAAAAUCAGAGAGAAAAAUAAUUGAUAAGGUAAAAAACAAUAUUGAAAUACUAGACGAUCAUAGUAUGUGUAUUCAUGAUCAAACUUCAGACAAUGAAGUCGAGAAAAGGAGGAAGGCGAGAAGGCAAGAGCAACCAAGCAAGUGAGCGAGAGAGAGAUUUCGGACAAGAUUCACUCCAGCAUAUACUUUUUUCUAUAUAUUAGAUUCAUUAGAGUAACUCGACAAUGGAAUCAAACUUGAUUAGUUAGGCGUAAACAGGUAGAUAUCUGAAAAUCAUAAUUUUCUCAUUGUUAAUCCCAAAAUAACAGUGACUGAUUUUUUACUCUAAAAUUAAGGAGGCAUGACAUUCUGAGUCCGCAAAUGGUUUCACAAUUUCAAUAUUUUCCCUCUCAAACCCAUGGCUUUCAUUCCAUAAAGCAUUCAACUGGAGUCAAGAUUCAAAGUUGCUAUCCUCCGGAGUGUGUGUGUAUAUAUAUAUGUAUACAGCAAGUCUUAACCAUGACAAAUAUUUGUAUUAGGAACCACUAAGAUUUAAUCGCCAGAUUUUAGGAAACAUGGAAUCAGAUGUUGACAUACAGCACAGUAAUUUUCUAAGGAGGAAUCAUGUCAGGCAUCCAUUAUUGAAGUGCUUACAAAGAUGAGUUUAUUACACUGUUAAUAAUUUAUUGAUAGGAGAUUUAUACCAUUUAAUUAGAAAAAUGUCUCACUACUAAAUAAUCACUAUUUCCCCACUGAAAAAUGUUCAGUGGCUAUUCCCAUAGAAUGACGGUGGGAAAUAUCUAAAAAGUAGUGUUUUCACACGGAAAAAUGGGAAAAUCAUGUUUCAUAGCACAAAUUUCCCACUGAAUGUCGGCGAGGAAAACUUAUGUCUCUAGUAGUAUCUUCACGGCCAUUUUAUCAUUGAUUUUAAAGAACAUCUAGCUUUUCUAUUGCGGGCUUCAACAUAUAAGAAGAGUAAAGCCUUACAGGAGUUCCUUUCACACCAGUGGUUACACCACCACUCGUUUCAGCAUCAGGUAAUGGUGCAAGCCUGGAGAUUCCAAAAUCAGAGACUUUUGCGGUGAACUUAGAGUCUAACAGUAUGUUAUUUGCCUUGAUAUCACGAUGAAUUAUUGGAGGAUCCGCUUCAGUAUGGAGGUAGAGGAUGCCCCUGGCAGCACCUAAAGCAAUGUAUAGCCUAGCUCCAAGACUCAGUGGUUCCCCAUAUCUAGCUGUAACAUUGCAGAAGGUGAUAGACAUUAUGCUUGAUUGCUUCUGCACAUCGGGAGUGAGAUCCGAAUUGAUCAAGGAUGUGAACAAAAGUUUUCAAUUUUGACCUAGGUGUUCAACCAGAACUGGGCAAUCAGAAUUCAACAAGUGGCUGAGACGAUCACUGCACAUAUAUAUAUAUAUAUAUAUAUACACACA